AAAGAAAGAGAUAGAGCUCUUACACAGAAAUGUGAAGCAACAUUUAGACAAAGCUCCUGUUUGGGCAUUUAGGCUUUUCUGCACAGCUCCCCUGAAGAGUGCUGGCCUAAUGGGUGGACUUGUGAGUCAGCAGCAGGGAUCCCACUGAGUCACAUUAAGAUCCCUGGAACCACAUCCUCCCCUUGGCUCACACUUCUUCACCAGGCAUACUAGGGGUGCAAGAAAUGCAUACUGAGUAUUCUACAGGAGUGAUCUAGACCGGGGGCGUUCUACAGCACAGCUGCUUAACCAACCGGAGGGAUAACUUUUUCUUCUUUCUAAGGUGCAUUGAAGGCUCUGACUGCUGGAAAGAGAAAAAAACACGAAAAGAUUAAUGGGCCAGUGUCGCUGGAGGAUUCACUGCCAACAGACACAAGCUGCCUAUUCCUAUUUAGUAUCUCUGCAUCUUCCUGAAGGCUGAGUGCUACUAUUUGACUCUUUCUAUCCCUUUAAAUAAUAGGCUGCACAUGAAAUAAAAUCUACUGAAUUUCAACUGA